rnacentral:rRNA from 1 species
AGCAGCAGCCACGGUAAUACGGAGGGUGCAAGCGUUAAUCGGAAUUACUGGGCGUAAAGCGCACGCAGGCGGUCUGACAAGUCAGAUGUGAAAUCCCCGGGCUUAACCUGGGAACUGCAUUUGAAACUGUCAGGCUGGAGUCUUGUAGAGGGGGGUGGAAUUCCAGGUGUAGCGGUGAAAUGCGUAGAGAUCUGGAGGAAUACCGGUGGCGAAGGCGGCCCCCUGGACAAAGACUGACGCUCAGGUGCGAAAGCGUGGGGAGCAAACAGGAUUAGAUACCCCGGUAGUCCCUGUCUCUUAUAC